GCCGAGGUGGCGGAACUGGCAGACGCAGAGGACUCAAAAUCCUCCGCCCGCGAGGGUGUAGGGGUUCGACUCCCCUCCUCGGCA
rnacentral:tRNA from 1 species